GACGAACGCUGGCGGCGUGCUUAACACAUGCAAGUCGAACGAAACCGCCCUGCUUUGUUGCGCUGCUCUAGUGGCGAACGGGGGAGUAACACGUGAGUAACGUGCCCCUGCCUGUGGGGUAUCUUCAUGAAACUGGGUCUCAUACCGGCUAAGAGCUCCUGCUGCAUGGUGGGGGUUGGAAAGAUUCGGCGGUUGGGGAUGGACUGGCGGCUUAUUAGCUUGAUGGGGGGGUAGUGGCUUACCAAGACUUUGACGGGUAGCCGGCCUGGGAGGGGGACAGGCCCAAUUAGGAUGGAAAUACGGCCCGGACCAGUACGGGAGGCAGCGGUGGGGUAUAGUACACAGGGGGCGGGAGGCUGGUGCAGUAACGCCGCGCGCGGGAUGACAUGCAUCGGUUAGUAAAGCGCUUUCGCCUUAGACGAAGCGUUAGUGACGGUAAUGGGUAAAGAAGCACCGGCUAACUACGUG
rnacentral:rRNA from 1 species